rnacentral:rRNA from 1 species
UAAGGAAUAUUGCCCAAUGGCCGCAAGUCUGAGGCAGCAACGCCGCGUGCCCGAAGAAGGUCUUCGGAUCGUAAAGGGCUUUUCUGUGGGAAGAGAAAGGACAGUACCGCAGGAAUAAGUGUCGGCUAACUACGUGCCAGCAGCCGCGGUAAAACGUAGGACGCAAGCGUUAUCCGGAUUUACUGGGCGUAAAGCGCGGGCAGGUGGCAGGCCAAGUUGGAUGUGAAAGCUCCCGGCUCAACUGGGAGAGGCCAUUCAAGACUGGUCGGCUGGAGGGCAGCAGGGGGGCGUGGAAUUCCGGGUGGAGUGGUGAAAUGCGUAGAGAUCCGGAGGAACACCAGAAGCGAAGGCGGCGCCCUGGGCUGCACCUGACACUGAACCGCGAAGGCGUGGGUAGCGAACGG